UGUCAUUUAGGGGAUCCAGCGGGGAAAAGAAGGGGAAAACACAGAUUGAAAACAACAACAACAACAACAAAAAAAAAAACCUCUCAGCAGGAGACAGUGACGGUCUAUCAGACCCUGCCCUGGGUUGCAACAAAGCACUUCCCAGACAUUACUGUCAUGCUUGGCAUAAGGAUGGCAUCACCUCGUAAGAAGAGGGCACCAGAUCUCACUAUAGAUGGCUGUGAGCCACCAUGUGGUUGCUGGGAAUUGAACUCAGGACCACUGGAAGAGGAGACAGUGCUCUUAACCUCGGAGCCAUCUCUCCAGCCCCAGGGCAUGGAGGUUUCCUGGCACAACCUGUCCUGUCAUCAGUCUGAGUGGCACUUGUGAAACGCUGGGGAGGCAGAGGCUGGAACAGUGACCAGGUGUUUACAUUAUCUGUGGUUCUGUUCCCCACCCCCAUGUGGAGGCAGGGUGGGGGAGUGAUGAUGAACCUGAAGACGAGGAACAGCGACACCAGAGUGGCGUAUCCUCCCCGCCCUGCAGCCCUCCGGGUCCAACUUCUGUAGUAACAGUUGUCCCGCACGCCCAAACUCUCCCCGAGAAUCAGCAGAACACACAAAAGGACAGGGAUGUUUUCCUCGUCCAAGCAACAGGGCAGGUGCCCAGAGAGGUCCAGAGACUGGUCAAAGGUCACACAGCUCCUCAGAGGAUAAACAUGACUGCAGAGCCUAUCCCCACAGGCAGUGUACCAUCAUGCCUCAGUUUCCUCCCUUCUAAAAGAGACAAGGUGAGCCAACUUGGAGACCUCUUCCUCCCACCUAGGUGCUGGGGUGAUAUUUGGUACCUCCCAGGCAUCCCGAGGAAAUAAAGCAGGGGAUUCUGGGAUCUGAGAAGAGGUAAAGCCUAGACUAAGUCUGAGGGCAGGAUGGUUUACUCUGGGAUGGAAGCUCAGAGUAAGCCCGCAGCAGAAGGAGCUAGCAUAUACAGGAUUGUAAGGUGAUGGCUAGAGUCUGGCUUCAGGACCAGCUAACAAAGGCAGCUGGGUUCGCCGACCAGCUGUAUGGUCAUGGACAAGUUACUUAACCUCUCUGAGCUGGAUUUCCUCCUGUGUAAAAUGAAGAUGAUGCUACCAACAUUUUUUUUGGGGGGUGGGGGCAGGAAUCGUUGUAAAAAUUAACUAAUAUAUGCAAUCAUAGGAAUGGACACUUAUAAAGCACCUGACAGGUUGGCCACAGAGUGGUGCUCUAGCAGAAGGCCUUUCCUAAUGGACUUUGAUCUUUAGGGAGAAAGAGCAUCUUUAGAUCCGUUAGCAAGAAACACCCAAGAAGAGCGAGCUUCAAGUGAAAGCAGCGGCGGCCUCAGGUGAAAAGAGGUAUUCGCCUGUCACUUCAGUUCUUAGGAGGCUGAGGCAGGAGGAUCAGGAGCCGGAAGCUGGCCUGGGCAACAGAGGGAGACCCUGUCUUAAAACAUUACAAAGAAAAAAAAAACAUUACAAAGAACCCAAACCCCAACAAAACCUAGUGUGACAGUGCAGGCCAGCUCACCUGAGGACAAGCCUACAGGAAGGAGAGUAAGGAGUGGCCUGCCUGCCUUCCAGAAGCAGGGUGCCUGGGGACAGGUGACCCGUAUCUAAGGAGGUUGGGGUGAAGGUCAGAGAGUGCAUUAUACACGCCCAGCUUGGCACCCUGUGGGUCCAGUUCCUAGCCCGCUGCUUGUCAGGUUCUAUUCUGGUGCCCAGGUCCCUCAUGAAGGAAGGCCAUGCUCCAUGCUAUCGGCCAGGGCUGGCUGUCCUCCAGCCGUGCCUCCUGCCAGAUGAUGCCCUGGCAUUCAGGCAGAGAAGCCAGGGUCUUGUGGGUUCUGACAGGCUGAACAGGUUUCUGGGUGGAGCUGAAGACAGGGACCAUUUUUCAUGCAGGGCCGUGUACUGAUGUCCAGUUGUCAAACUGAGUUCUGAGGGAGACUACAGUUGGCAGAAGUCAGUUGAACACCAUGGUUCGGGUGGGCCCCCGGUCCUCACAGACACCCUUGUCUAAUGACGUCACUGCUUUGCUCUGCCUGGCAGUUUGAAGCAUCAAAACUUUUCUAUGUGUUUGGGAGCAUAAGCCUAACCAAAGAACAAAUGCUCUCACGGGGCCGGGGCUGUUGUCAGCUUGUUUUCCAUUGCUGGGGAUGGAACCUCAGACCUUGCCUGCGCUCUGAGGCUGCUACCCUGAGUCCCGCGAAUGUGCGAGAGGAAUGGGGCAUCUCCCUAUCGCUAUCUCCCUGACUAGAUGACUCAGAACUGUUUCCACAGUAAUGCGGUGGUUAGAACAGAGUACCCUGGAAUUGGGCCUCGUUCCAUCCUUCUCUUCCUGUGUGACCUUGGGUAAGUUACAUAACCUCUGUGAACCCGAGUUUCAUCUCAUGGAGAAUGAAGGUGAUCGAAGCUCCUGCCUCUCAGUGUAGCAGAAAUGUGAUCCAUCCCUAUCACCGUUAUGGUUCCUCAGCUUUGAAGAUACCGAGGAUCAUUUUACCCUCUCUCUCCACACCCUUGCACACCUCCUCCCCCGUACAUGCGCCUUCAGUCGAUAAUGUAUAUGUUUGCUUUGCCAGAGUUUACACAAAGCUGGCCAGAGAAAAGAAAUUCAGCCUUUGGCCGAGAGCGGUGGUGAUUAAACGUUCGCUAAGUAAACCCAUUAGACAACUCAGCCGUGGAUAAACAAACAUCAGUCUUAAUAUGACACCUCGAAUCUCCAAGGGUUCUCAGAGCACCGCCGAGCCUGUCCCCCUGGUUACAGGGAGGGAGGAGUGGGGUCAAGCUGUACCCUCAGGAAUCCCCCCACCCCCUGGCCUCUGCUGAACUCACCAGGCAGCGUCUUCACGCGGCACACAUAGGGCGCGCUCUUCUUGGACCACAGAGGAACGGAGAUCAUGAUGGACCCAAGGAACUCUGUGUCCGGAGUCAGGCCAAGGAACUCGUAUUCUCUCUGUUUGCCUUCGAGGUGCUGAAAUGGACAGAGAAGCCAAGAUGAUUGCACAGACACAGACACACACGCAGACACACAGACACACAUAGACAUAUACAUGCACACACGUACCCAUGCCCGCAUGCACACAGAGCCUUCUCAUAGAACCUGGUCUGUCUGUAGCAGCCCACAGAUACCAGCUGCUGUGGCAACGACCUGCUUGCCACCAUCACCCCGUCUCUCCCCCGCCUCCUCCGUCAUUAACCCUGCCUCGACUCUGCAUUCCUUUACCCUUCCUGAUCUGACCUGAUCUCUCCAGCCUGGGCUCUGCAAUGGCCCCUUGCUGCUCACUCAUCUCUGGUUUGGUUCCUGUCCACCGGCACAUUCAUCCUGGUGCCACCGUGAUCUUUGGAAAAGCUAGAUUUACAGCGCGCCUCUCCUCCAAAGCCUCGACUGCUUGGCCUGUAUUCACAAGGCAACAUCCUGGUCAAAUGCCAUAGGUUUCUCUAACUCCCCUACGUUGGAUCCCCCCAACUUGCCUGCCCUGUGCCAUCCUUGGUGGGGGAUGGGAGUGCUCCUGUCAGCUCCUGCCAACCUCUGGCUGCUUCACCUCUUUCAGCCCCUCAGUUCCAUGCAGAAUGAACUCUUCACCCAUCUUUCUCUCUGGUCACUUUAUGAUCUUGUCCGGGCCUGUGGCCUCUGUAGUCAUUGAUGUAUGACCCUAAAGGGCUUCCGAUGAGCAAAACAAGCCCCUUCUGGGUGUCACCAGGCAAGUACCUCCAUACCGCGUGUUCCCAAACCCAGCCCGGCACCCGCCUCCUGUCCUCAAAUUCUCUUUAUAGCAUCCGAUUUUCCUCAUCUUGGCGGCCCAAGAUAGCAAAUUCUUCCCUUUAAGUUGCCCCGUCAGGUACAUUGGUCAUGGUGAUGAAAAAGCAAUUAAUAAAAUGAUCAAAAUGAAAAAAAAAAGGAA